UUCAAAAAUAUCGUUCGAUAUUUGUUCCGCAAUUUAAUUGAACUUUUCCAACAUUGGUUUUAACCACGACAUCUCAUUAAAGCCACUCUCAGCAGAAUACGAUUUUAUUUCAUUCUUUUUAUGACCCCCCCCCCCUCUUCUCCACACAAUACCAUCCUCCCGCCCGACCUUGAAUUAUUCUAAUUAAGCUCAUUACCGUGUGACUUUUGAGAUUCCCGUAGCAGAGCCAGCACUGUAAAAAGCAGCGCGACCUUGGAGACAGUCGGGUAAGGAUGACAGUGCUUUGUUAGUAGGAGGGGGGGGGUCACCGUGGGAGCCGGCUUGUCUCCUACACAGGUAAUUAAUAAGCUUAUUAACUCCUCGACUCAUCAUCAUAAUCAGAAUUGCAGUCGGAGAGGGAGAAUCGACUCGUGAUCAAAUUAAUGAAGAUUGCACACAAUUUAGAGGUGACUGCUGAAGAAGCACGUUGUGCAUAAUUUUUUUAAUGUUGAUGAAUGAAAUAUAUUCCAGCUCACAACAGGAAGUGUUUGUGAGUUUGCAGACCGUUCCGACUUUCAUCUGGAUUCAGGUGCCGUUCCAUACAAGAGGCCUCAACUUGUCUUUGCCCACGGCAUGUGUGUGUGAAUGUUUUGUUUUUUUCCCCCCAUCACCAAACUUGUUUCCACAGGGCUUUGUGUGCCUAUGCAUACUUUGACUCCAAAGGCCAAAGUGGACAAAUUGGAGCCGACACUUGGAGAAGGACCCCGUAACCUGGACGCUAGUGGGAGACAGACCUGACAAGAAGUCUGAUUAUCCACGACGACGGGGGAGAAGACGUGGCAUUCCUGCUUUAUCCUUGCCACACAGCGCCGUAAAGAUAAAGAGAACAUUACACGGUUGAGAAUCAAGGACAAUGUGAUGCCGAGCCGUUGUUGAAACGAUGACUCGGAGCUAUUGUUCUUAAAUGAACAGGAAAAUGGAAUUAUGGAUGGUUGUGGAGCGAAGAGGUCAAGUCUAACCAUCUGACCCCCCUCGUGCGCUCCACUCAAUGGCAUGACAGGUUCAUUACAAGCAUCCAGACCAGAGAAAUCAAUCCCCGAAAGGUCUGCUCCUGACGGCCCCCCCACUAGCACCACCACCUUUCAUUCUUUUCACUUCUGCACUUAGUGUGUGGGAUCGAUAUUAGUGGAGAGGGAAAGGGCUUCUUCUGAUGAAAGCAAUUCGAGCUGUUCAUGAGGCACAUUCUCUGCAAUGUUCAGCACUGCCACUGAGGGCCAGUAAAGUGCUACAUGCAAGCAUGGAAAAUUCAGGAAUGUUUCCAAGCAGUGGGAAGUAUUCAUAUUUUUGUGCACCUUUUAUUUUUUGAUAGAAUUUUAAUUUUAUCACCUGCAUUAAAAAACAUAUAUCUGUAUGCAAAAUACGACUCCUUAGUUUUUCCAAUUGCAGAGAAUGAUGUUUAAAAAAAUGGAAACAGGGUUAUUUUA